GAUGAACGCUAGCGGGAGGCUUAACACAUGCAAGUCGAGGGGUAAAAUUCAGCAAUGGAUUGAGACCGGCGGACGGGUGCGUAACGCGUAUGCAACAUACCUUGUGCAGGGGGAUAGCCCGUGGAAACGCGGAUUAAUAUUCCAUAGAUCAGUAAUAUCGCAUGGUAUAACUGGUAAAGAUGAGUCGGCACAAGAUUGGCAUGCGUCUGAUUAGCUAGUUGGUAGGGUAACGGCCUACCAAGGCGACGAUCAGUAACUGGUGUGAGAGCACGACCAGUCACACGGGCACUGAGAUACGGGCCCGACUCCUACGGGAGGCAGCAGUAAGGAAUAUUGGUCAAUGGACGCAAGUCUGAACCAGCCAUGCCGCGUGAAGGAUGAAGGUCCUCUGGAUUGUAAACUUCUUUUAUUAGGGACGAAAUCUCCGGUUUCUACUGGGGUUGACGGUACCUAAGGAAUAAGCACCGGCUAACUCCGUGCCAGCAGCCGCGGUAAA
rnacentral:rRNA from 1 species